rnacentral:rRNA from 1 species
UACGGGGGGAGCAAGCGUUGUUCGGAUUUACUGGGCGUAAAGGGCGCGUAGGCGGCCAGCGCAAGUCAGUUGUGAAAUCUCCGGGCUUAACUCGGAAAGGUCAACUGAUACUGCGCGGCUAGAGUGCGGAAGGGGCAACUGGAAUUCUCGGUGUAGCGGUGAAAUGCGUAGAUAUCGAGAGGAACACCUGCGGCGAAGGCGGGUUGCUGGGC